AGCGAACAUUGGCGGUAGGCUUAACACAUGCAAGUCGAGCGAGGCGUAAUAGUCGAGCGGCGAACGGGUGAGUAAUACAUGGAAAUCUACCUUGAAGUGGGGGAUAACGUUCAGAAAUGGACGCUAAUACCGCAUAAUCCAUAUUGGGAAAGCGUUGCAGCGCUUUAAGAUGAGUCCAUGGCUGAUUAGCUAGUUGGUGAGGUAAUGGCUCACCAAGGCGACGAUCAGUAGCUGGUGUGAGAGGAUGACCAGCCACACUGGAACUGAGACACGGUCCAGACUCCUACGGGAGGCAGCAGUGGGGAAUCUUGCGCAAUGGGGGCAACCUUGACGCAGCCAUACCGCGUGAGUGAUGAAGGUCUUCGGAUUGUAAAGCUCUUUCGGCGGGGACGACGAUGACGGUACCCGCAAAAGAAGUCACGGCUAACUUCGUGCCAGCAGCCGCAGUAA
rnacentral:rRNA from 1 species